CUCGCCCAAAUUUGCGAGAGCAAUUUUUGAACGGGUACAGGUCUGCCUGCAAAGGUGACUCACCUACUUUGUGAGAUGCCUAACGGGAUAAGGAUCUGCCCGACCCUUUAUUGUCAAAAAUAAAUAAAACGCAGUAUGUAACUACUCAUAGAGAGGAUAAAUGGAAUGAUCGUGGGGUCCAUUUUCCACGGUAAUGGAUAAAAUGGAGCGGUUCAUCAACAAUAAAGUGUGAGGUGUAUGGUCUGACCCCCCCACCCCUUCAACCUCUGCAGCAAUGCUGGCAGCACUCAUACGUCCAUUUCCCAAAGACAACCUCUGGAUAUGACGCUGAGCACGUGCACUCAACUUCCUUGGUCGACCAUGGCGAGGCCUGUUCUGAGUGGAACCUAUCCUGUUGAACUGCUGUAUGGUCUUGUGUUGAGUUAUAUUGAGGGGACAGCAAAUUUACACUGCUAUACAAGCUGUACACUCACUACUUUACAUUGUAGCAACGUGUCAUUUCUUCAGUGUCACAUGAAAAGAUAUAAUCCAGUAUUUGCAAAAAUGGGAGGGGUGUACUCACUUUUGUGAGAUACUGUAUGUCUUUUUUCCAAUUGUGUAAAACCUUUAGGUAAAAGGUAUUGCAAUGUGGUUUAAUAGUAAUACCUUUCUAUUUUCUACAUAUUAGUGUGUUUGUAACAAAGUAAUUAUUUCUAUUUAUUUUGUAUUUUUAUUUAACUUUUUUUAAGUGUGCCCUGGGAACAUUAAUCCAAGAAUAAAACAAUAAAAUAUAAAAUACAUCCAAGAAUAAAACAAUAAAACAAUAAA
ensembl:lncRNA